GGGUUAGUAAAGGUUUCGACAGGGAUUUUGAAGCUGGAGAAGCUAUCCGCAGGACGGUGCGAUAAACCUCAAAUUAAAAUUAAACGCUGAAGAUAAUUUAGCAUUUGCUGCCUAAGGGCAGCUCGUGGACCUGAGUACACCUACAUACUUAGUAAUCCGCGUCAAAUCUUGUAGGAAACGACAUGGCAAGUGCCUCGAGGCUGUGGUCGUAUAAGGGGCUACAGAUCAUCUUUGGUUGCCUAUUACUGAAGGUGUGAUGGAACAGGAAUGCAGAAUUCCGAAAUAACAGGCUAUGAUAGUAGAAGGACAGGGGAUGAAUUUUUGGACGCGGGUUCGACUCCCGCCUAAUCCACUC
rnacentral:tmRNA from 1 species